UCCAGCAUGGUGUAGUGGUUUGUGUGUUGCACUAUGACUGGAGAACAGGGUUCGAAUCCCUGUUGAGU